UAUACCGAGGGUGUUCACCUCUUCCCAUUCCGAACAGAGAAGUUAAGCCCCUCAUGGCCGAUGGUACUUGGGCCUUGUCCCUGGGAGAGUAGGUAGCUGCCGUAU
rnacentral:rRNA from 1 species